UACCAGCUCUCCGAGUGGUAGGGAUGAUUAUUGGGCUUAAAGCGUCCGUAGCCGGCUUAGCAAGUCUCCUGUUAAAUUCAGCGAUCUAAUCGUUGGGCCGCGGGAGAUACUGCUGGGCUAGGAGGCGGGAGAAGCCGACGGUAUUCUCGGGGUAGGGGUGAAAUCCUGUAAUCCCGGGAGGACCACCAGUGGCGAAGGCGGUCGGCUAGAACGCGCUCGACGGUGAGGGACGAAAGCUGGGGGAGCGAACCGGAUUAGAAACCCGGGUAGUCCCAGCUGUAAACGAUGCGGGCUAGGUGUUGGGGUGGCCACGAGCCACCUCAGUGCCGCAUGGAAGCAAUUAAGCCCGCCGCCUGGGGAGUACGGCCGCAAGGCUG
rnacentral:rRNA from 1 species